rnacentral:rRNA from 1 species
UGGGGAAUAUUGCACAAUGGGGGAAACCCUGAUGCAGCGACGCCGCGUGAACGAAGAAGGUAUUCGUAUCGUAAAGUUCUGUCCUAUGGGAAGAUAAUGACAGUACCAUAGAAGAAAGCUCCGGCUAAAUACGUGCCAGCAGCCGCGGUAAUACGUAUGGAGCGAGCGUUGUCCGGAAUUAUUGGGCGUAAAGGGUACGCAGGCGGUUUAAUAAGUCGAAUGUUAAAGAUCGGGGCUCAACCCCGCAAAGCAUUGGAAACUGAUAAACUUGAGUAGUGGAGAGGAAAGUGGAAUUCCUAGUGUAGUGGUGAAAUACGUAGAUAUUAGGAGAAAUACCAGUAGCGAAGGCGACUUUCUGGACACAAACUGACGCUGAGGUACGAAAGCGUGGGGAGCAAACAGG